rnacentral:rRNA from 1 species
AUGCCUAAUCCUAGAGAGGUUGAUCGUGCUCUGUUUGUUGAACAUGUUAGACUCAAGAAAUGUGGUUUUACUGUUAAGUUCUUACCCUGGUCUAAGGAUAUUGACUCUGAGGGACUCCUAGAAAUUGCUUGGGUUAGGAUUGGGCGCAUUCCCCCUAACAAAAGGUGUGAUAAAACAAUUGCUUAUGCCGGGGGGCUUGUGGGUAUCACUCUGGAGGUGGAUAUGUCCACCAUAAAUUGUCCCUUGUCAGUCAGAGCUAAAAUUGGUUGUCGCUCUAUUGACCAUCUCCCUACCAUGGCUGAAGGGGUGUUGGGGGGGGGGGGGCGUUUCUACAAGUUCACUUAUGAGGUUGAGGAAGUUCUUGUUAAGAAUCCCGUGUGCGCUGAGAAGGUUGCUGAGAUGACCAGAGGGGAUACAUCUAAACCUGAUCAGACCCCUAAACGCAAACAGGCUGAUCAGGAGAAAGGAGAUGAUGGCUCUGAGUCCUAG